UGGGGUAUAUUGCACAAUGGGGGAAACCCUGAUGCAGCGACGCCGCGUGAACGAAGAAGGUAUUCGUAUCGUAAAGUUCUGUCCUAUGGGAAGAUAAUGACAGUACCAUAGAAGAAAGCUCCGGCUAAAUACGUGCCAGCAGCCGCGGUAAUACGUAUGGAGCGAGCGUUGUCCGGAAUUAUUGGGCGUAAAGGGUACGCAGGCGGUUUAAUAAGUCGAAUGUUAAAGAUCGGGGCUCAACCCCGUAAAGCAUUGGAAACUGAUAAACUUGAGUAGUGGAGAGGAAAGUGGAAUUCCUAGUGUAGUGGUGAAAUACGUAGAUAUUAGGAGGAAUACCAGUAGCGAAGGCGACUUUCUGGACACAAACUGACGCUGAGGUACGAAAGCGUGGGGAGCAAACAGG
rnacentral:rRNA from 1 species